GACGAACGCUGGCGGCGUGCUUAACACAUGCAAGUCGAACGGUAAGGCCCCUUCGGGGGUACACGAGUGGCGAACGGGUGAGUAACACGUGAGCAACCUGCCCUUGACUCUGGAAUAACAGUUGGAAACAGCUGCUAAUACUGGAUAUUCAUCGUCUCCUUCCUGGGGGGUGGUGGAAAGCUCCGGCGGUCAGGGAUGGGCUCGCGGCCUAUCAGCUUGUUGGUGAGGUAAUGGCCCACCAAGGCUUCGACGGGUAGCCGGCCUGAGAGGGCGACCGGCCACACUGGGACUGAGAUACGGCCCAGACUCCUACGGGAGGCAGCAGUGGGGAAUAUUGCACAAUGGGCGCAAGCCUGAUGCAGCAACGCCGCGUGCGGGAUGACGGCCUUCGGGUUGUAAACCGCUUUCAGUAGGGACGAAGGGUGACUGACGGUACCUACAGAAGAAGGACCGGCUAGCUACGUG
rnacentral:rRNA from 1 species